rnacentral:rRNA from 1 species
CGGAUCGUAAAGCUCUGUUGCCAAGGAAGAACGUCUUCUAGAGUAACUGCUAGGAGAGUGACGGUACUUGAGAAGAAAGCCCCGGCUAACUACGUGCCAGCAGCCGCGGUAAUACGUAGGGGGCAAGCGUUGUCCGGAAUUAUUGGGCGUAAAGCGCGCGCAGGCGGUUCUUUAAGUCUGGUGUUUAAACCCGAGGCUCAACUUCGGGUCGCACUGGAAACUGGGGGACUUGAGUGCAGAAGAGGAGAGUGGAAUUCCACGUGUAGCGGUGAAAUGCGUAGAUAUGUGGAGGAACACCAGUGGCGAAGGCGACUCUCUGGGCUGUAACUG